GCCUGGUUAGCUUGGUUGGUAGAGCGUCUGCUUUGCAAGCGCUAGGCCGCGGGUUCGCUUCCCGCCCGGGGGCA
rfam:Asian citrus Psyllid, Diaphorina citri - Florida Strain, whole genome shotgun sequence.